AAAGGGCGUCAUUCGCAUAUCUUUACGCGCUUCACAGCACCAGAAAAGAUCUGUUCUUUCACGAGGGAUUCACUUCUUUGUCAUCUAUCUCUACGGCAAAAAGGAGUUUUAUUUCAGUGGGAUUUGAAGUCAUGAAAAGCAAAGGGCUUUGUUGGCUAAUCGCAUCAGGCGACCCCAAUGUCUUCCAAAUGGAAUGUUAAGCAAGGAUUAGUGUGUCGUGUGGAAAUGGUCCGUUUACUAGUGCGACUCGGACUUCACAGUUUGAGUGAGAAUUUUCCAAAGUUUUUAGAUACCACGUGAAUGUUUAGCUGGAAAUAUUACUUUCAAACGAGUCAGAUAAGCUUCUUAAGGAAAAUUUUAACAAUAAUAUAGCGUUUUUUACUUCUCAUGGGAAGCACUUAGGACGCGCGAAAGCUCGCUUCCGUAAGGUGCUGAUUUCUCUAAAAAUAAACUCAGGCUCGAGCUGCUGGUGUCUUAGUUGGCUUUGUUAACAGCGAGAGCUUCAUAAAAAUG